rnacentral:rRNA from 1 species
UACGUAAGGUCCGAGCGUUGUCCGGAAUCAUUGGGCGUAAAGGGUACGUAGGCGGUUAAGCAAGUUAGAAGUGAAAUCCUAUAGCUCAACUAUAGUACGCUUUUAAAACUGCUCAUCUUGAGGUAUGGAAGGGAAAGUGGAAUUCCGAGUGUAGCGGUGAAAUGCGCAGAUAUUAGGAGGAAUACCAGUAGCGAAGGCGACUUUCUGGACUGUAACUGACACUGAGGUACGAAAGCGUGGGUAGCAAACAGG